ACUCCUACGGGAGGCAGCAGUGGGGAAUAUUGCACAAUGGGCGCAAGCCUGAUGCAGCCAUGCCGCGUGUGUGAAGAAGGCCUUCGGGUUGUAAAGCACUUUCAGUCGUGAGGAAGGUGGUAGUGUUAAUAGCACUAUCAUUUGACGUUAGCGACAGAAGAAGCACCGGCUAACUCCGUGCCAGCAGCCGCGGUAAUACGGAGGGUGCGAGCGUUAAUCGGAAUUACUGGGCGUAAAGCGCAUGCAGGUGGUUUGUUAAGUCAGAUGUGAAAGCCCGGGGCUCAACCUCGGAAUAGCAUUUGAAACUGGCAGACUAGAGUACUGUAGAGGGGGGUAGAAUUUCAGGUGUAGCGGUGAAAUGCGUAGAGAUCUGAAGGAAUACCGGUGGCGAAGGCGGCCCCCUGGACAGAUACUGACACUCAGAUGCGAAAGCGUGGGGAGCAAACAGGAUUAGAU
rnacentral:rRNA from 1 species